rnacentral:lncRNA from 1 species
UUAAUUUUGGUUGUAAUUUGAUUUGAUCAAAUGUUGUAAAAGGGCUUAAGCUCUUCUUUACUUUAAAGUAAUUUAUUUUAUGCAAAUGUUGUAAUGAGCAUAAGCUCACCUUUACUUUGAAGUACUUCUUUCUUGCUUUUUAUGAUAUGCAUGAAAAUGAAGUAGUUGGGUCCAACGCCCCUAAGACAACACGCCUUAAUGUGAUUAAAUGCGUAACUAAAAUCAAUCACCAUCCCUAGAUCGAGAUUCAACACAAGGCUCGUGUUGAAUCUAAACAAAGGUUCAUAAUCAUCCUAAGGCCCUAAGGCAA